UACAGAGGGGGCAAGCGUUGUUCGGAAUUACUGGGCGUAAAGGGCGCGUAGGUGGCCUUCUAAGUUGAACGUGAAAUCCCUGGGCUCAACCCAGGAACUGCGUCCAAGACUGGGAGGCUUGAAUCCGGGAGAGGGAUGCGGAAUUCCAGGUGUAGCGGUGAAAUGCGUAAGAUAUGGCGAGGAACACCGAUGGCGAAGGCAAUCCCCUGGGCCUGCACUGACGCUCAUGCACGAAAGCGUGGGGAGCAAACAGG
rnacentral:rRNA from 1 species